rnacentral:sRNA from 1 species
UGCCUAAACCUACCAGCAAUGGUGGGCAUGGCAGACAAGACCUUUCGAACCAGUAAGCUCUUCCCAGAGCGUUCGAAAGGCUAUCGUGCGAAAGUGCGGUAGGCGGAGUAAUCCGUC